CCUUCAAUAAAUGAAGGAGAUUAUGUGAAUAGGAAAUCUGUCCACAGCAUUAAUGUACAGAUCAUAUGUGACGCAGCCCACAUGAUAAAUAAUGUGGAAGCGAAGUGGCCUGGGUCUGUGUAUGACUCACGAAUGUUUCGUGAGUCUACACUGAGUGCCAGAUUUGCCCGUGGAGAGUUUGAUGGUUAUCUACUCGGAGACAGAGGGUACCCCUGCCAGCGCUAUCUGCUGAC